UGAGGGAUGACCUUUGCAAGGUGUGA
rnacentral:piRNA from 1 species